UACGUAGGGUGCGAGCGUUAAUCGGAAUUACUGGGCGUAAAGCGUGCGCAGGCGGUUGGUUAAGUCAGAUGUGAAAGCCCCGGGCUCAACCUGGGAAUUGCAUUUGAAACUGGCCAACUAGAGUACGUGAGAGGGGGGUAGAAUUCCAAGUGUAGCGGUGAAAUGCGUAGAGAUUUGGAGGAAUACCAGUGGCGAAGGCGGCCCCCUGGCACGAUACUGACGCUCAGGUGCGAAAGCGUGGGGAGCAAACAGG
rnacentral:rRNA from 1 species